rnacentral:rRNA from 1 species
GUCGUGAAUCUUCCGCAAUGGGCGAAAGCCUGACGGAGCGACACCGCGUGUAGGAUGAAGGCCUUCGGGUUGUAAACUACUGUCACGUUCUAGGAACUGCUCAGUGUGAAUAGCACUGAGCUCGACCAAGACGGGAGGAAGCACCGGCUAACUCUGUGCCAGCAGCCGCGGUAAGACAGAGGGUGCAAACGUUGUUCGGAAUUACUGGGCAUAAAGCGCACGUAGGUGGUCCGCUAAGUCGCGUGUGAAAUCCCCCGGCUCAACCGGGGAAUUGCGGGCGAUACUGGCGGGCUUGAGAUCGGGAGGGGUGAGUGGAACUCCAGGUGGAGCGGUGAAAUGCGUAGAUAUCUGGAGGAACACCGGUGGCGAAAGCGACUCACUGGCCCGACACUGACACUGAGGUGCGAAAGCUAGGGUAGCAAACGGGAUUAGAUACCCCAGUAGUCC